rnacentral:lncRNA from 1 species
UUGGAACUAACAGACGACCUGCGUCCUUUUUGGAAGGUGGUUCAGUGGAAAUUCCUGAGUUCCUCAGGAAAAAAGGGCGAUCGCGCUAUCCAAGAGCUUAAGUUAGUCAUGUAUAGUACUCUUCCCUUUUUCUUCUUGUUCUCCACAGAGUCCCAUCUCUAUCUUUCAAAGUGAUACAUAUGCGUUAUACGUACAGGAUCUUGGUUAUGCAUCGAGUAUCAAGUUUAUCUCAUGGAAAAACCAUUGUCCAUCUCGUUUUUCUUAAUAAUAAUGUAUCGUGCCUAUACAUGUUAGUUUGCUAGUGAGUGUAAUAAGCUGGAGAUACUAUCAAAGGUAGACAAUUAGGAGCACAAUCAGUCUGGUUUCACCUUGUGAUCUGUAAAAUGUUGCUGUAAAGUUGAUAUCUGGAGA